GAGAGAGGAACUACGAGGCAGAUCUUUCUCGACUGAGCCCAGAUAUGGAAACCAAAAAAAAAAAAAACCCUCUGGUGCAGCUCAUGAAUGAGGAUGUUACUGGAAGCUCUGCAAUCUUGUCCUGCUCUUUCAGUUACAAAAAACCAAGUCAAGACAUGAAAUCUAUUAAGACUCAAUGAUGGCAAGAAUAUAUAAAACAUCAUUAAGAGAAAAUGAUUCACCUGAGGAUCAAAAAUAUAACAUUUCUCAGAGAAGUUUACGGAAGGAAGCUUCACUUUCACACUCAUUUGCAGCUUCAUCUGUGUAUUUGCAGUGCUGAUACAUAAAG